UGGGGAAUCUUGCGCAAUGGGCGAAAGCCUGACGCAGCCAUGCCGCGUGAAUGAUGAAGGUCUUAGGAUUGUAAAAUUCUUUCACCGGGGACGAUAAUGACGGUACCCGGAGAAGAAGCCCCGGCUAACUUCGUGCCAGCAGCCGCGGUAAUACGAAGGGGGCUAGCGUUGCUCGGAAUUACUGGGCGUAAAGGGCGCGUAGGCGGAUCGUUAAGUCAGGGGUGAAAUCCCGGGGCUCAACCUCGGAAUUGCCCUUGAUACUGGCGAUCUUGAGUAUGAGAGAGGUAUGUGGAACUCCGAGUGUAGAGGUGAAAUUCGUAGAUAUUCGGAAGAACACCAGUGGCGAAGGCGACAUACUGGCUCAUUACUGACGCUGAGGCGCGAAAGCGUGGGGAGCAAACAGGAUUAGAUACCCUGGUAGUCCACGCCGUAAACGAUGAUUGCUAGUUGUCGGGCUGCAUGCAGUUCGGUGACGCAGCUAACGCAUUAAGCAAUCCGCCUGGGGAGUACGGUCGCAAGAUA
rnacentral:rRNA from 2 species